rnacentral:lncRNA from 1 species
AUGUGGGGCCCAGAACACACUGGUGGAGCAGUUGGCAGAAGAGGCACAGCGGCGCGACGAGAUGCUGCGCAUGCACCACAUGCUGAAGGAGGUACUCACCAUCAUCAGGGACAUCAACACGACCACCGUCAGCCUGCGCCUAAGCCUGCAUGUGGACGACUCCUGGCUGCAGAGUUCAUUAGUUUUUGUUUGUUCUCCGUUAAUAUCCAGCUCAAUAGAUUGUUACCAACCAUGUGCCUAGAGUUAACUGUGUCAAGAAGAGCAUGCUUCAGGUGGCUGGAGUGA